CCUACGGGAGGCAGCAGUAGGGAAUCUUCCGCAAUGGACGAAAGUCUGACGGAGCAACGCCGCGUGAACGAUGAAGGCCUUCGGGUCGUAAAGUUCUGUUGUCAGGGAAGAACAAGUAUCGGAGUAACUGCCGGUACCUUGACGGUACCUGACCAGAAAGCCACGGCUAACUACGUGCCAGCAGCCGCGGUAAUACGUAGGUGGCAAGCGUUGUCCGGAAUUAUUGGGCGUAAAGCGCGCGCAGGCGGUUCCUUAAGUCUGAUGUGAAAGCCCCCGGCUCAACCGGGGAGGGUCAUUGGAAACUGGGGAACUUGAGUGCAGAAGAGGAGAGCGGAAUUCCACGUGUAGCGGUGAAAUGCGUAGAGAUUUGGAGGAACACCAGUGGCGAAGGCGACUUUCUGGUCUGUAACUGACACUGAGGCGCGAAAGCGUGGGGAGCAAACAGGAUUAGAUACCCUGGUAGUCCACGCCGUAAACGAUGAGUGCUAAGUGUUAGAGGGUUUCCGCCCUUUAGUGCUGCAGCUAACGCAUUAAGCACUCCGCCUGGGGAGUACGGCCGCAAGGCUGAAACUCAAAGGAAUUGACGG
rnacentral:rRNA from 1 species